UACGUAGGGGGCAAGCGUUGUUCGGAAUUACUGGGCGUAAAGGGCGCGUAGGCGGCAAUUCAAGUCAGCUGUGAAAUCUCCGAGCUUAACUCGGAACGGUCAGCUGAUACUGUUUUGCUAGAGUACAGAAGGGGCAAUCGGAAUUCUUGGUGUAGCGGUGAAAUGCGUAGAUAUCAAGAGGAACACCUGAGGUGAAGACGGGUUGCUGGGCUGAUACUGACGCUGAGGCGCGAAAGCUAGGGUAGCAAACGGG
rnacentral:rRNA from 1 species